GACGAACGCUGGCGGCGUGCCUAAUACAUGCAAGUAGAACGCACAGUUUAUACCGUAGCUUGCUACACCAUAAACUGUGAGUUGCGAACGGGUGAGUAACGCGUAGGUAACCUGCCUGGUAGCGGGGGAUAACUAUUGGAAACGAUAGCUAAUACCGCAUAAUAUUGAUUAUUGCAUGAUAAUUGAUUGAAAGAUGCUAUUGCAUCACUACCAGAUGGACCUGCGUUGUAUUAGCUAGUAGGUGAGGUAACGGCUCACCUAGGCGACGAUACAUAGCCGACCUGAGAGGGUGAUCGGCCACACUGGGACUGAGACACGGCCCAGACUCCUACGGGAGGCAGCAGUAGGGAAUCUUCGGCAAUGGACGAAAGUCUGACCGAGCAACGCCGCGUGAGUGAAGAAGGUUUUCGGAUCGUAAAGCUCUGUUGUAAGAGAAGAACGGGUGUGAGAGUGGAAAGUUCACACUGUGACGGUAUCUUACCAGAAAGGGACGGUUAACUACGUG
rnacentral:rRNA from 1 species